AUGACUCCAAUUUAUUGCUGUUUCCAAUAUGCCAGACACCACACUUCUCAUUCACUAGUGCUCUUCUGCCUGAGUGAGGACAAGAAGAACAUCAUCCUAGAGGAGGGCAAGGAGAUCCUGGUAGGUGAUGUGGGCCAGACCAUCGACAAUCCCUACACCACCUUUGUCAAGAUGCUUCUAGACAAGGACUGCCGCUAUGCCCUCUAUGAUGCAACCUAUGAGACCAAGGAGAGCAAGAAGGAGGAACUAGUGUUUAUCUUUUGGGCUCCCUUAAUAGCAAAAUGAUUUAUGCCAGCUCCAAGGAUGACAUCAAGAAGAAGCUGGCAGGGAUCAAGCAUGAAUUACAAGCAAACUGCUAUGAGGAGGUCAAGGACCGCUGCACCCUGGCAGAGAAGCUGGGGGGCAGUGCUGUCAUCUCCCUGGAGGGCAAGCCUUUGUGAGCCCCCUCCUGCCCCCUGCCUGGAGCAUCUGGCAGCCCCAGACCUGCCCCGGGGAUUGCAGGCUGCCCCCUUCCUGCCAGACUGGAGGGGCUGGGGGGAUCCCAGCAGGGGGAGGGCAAUCCCUUUACCCCAGUUGCCAAGCAGUCCUCCCCCACCCCUGCAUUUUCUUCCUCCCUCCAUCCCUGACGGUUCUGGCCUUCCCAAACCGUUGUUGAUCUCCUGAUUCUUUGUGGGUUGAAGCAGACCAAGUUCCCCCCUGGCACCCCAGUUGCGGGGAGCCUGUAUUUUUUUAACAAUACCCCUACACCUCACCUGUUCUAUCCCUUCCUAUGCUGCCAACUUCUAACCGCAAUAGUGACUCUGUGCUUGUCUGUUUA